rnacentral:rRNA from 1 species
UACGUAGGUGGCGAGCGUUAUCCGGAAUGAUUGGGCGUAAAGGGUGCGCAGGCGGUCCUGCAAGUCUGGAGUGAAACGUAUGAGCUCAACUCAUGCAUGGCUCUGGAAACUGGAGGACUGGAGAGCAGGAGAGGGCGGUGGAAUUCCUAGUGUAGCGGUGAAAUGCGUAGAUAUUAGGAGGAACACCAGUGGCGAAGGCGGCUUACUGGACGAUGACUGACGCUGAGGCUCGAAAGCGUGGGGAGCAAACAGG